CAGUAGCCACGGUAAUACGUAGGGUGCAAGCGUUAAUCGGAAUUACUGGGCGUAAAGCGUGCGCAGGCGGUUAUAUAAGUCAGAUGUGAAAUCCCCGGGCUCAACCUGGGAACUGCAUUUGAGACUGUAUGGCUAGAGUGUGUCAGAGGGGGGUAGAAUUCCACGUGUAGCAGUGAAAUGCGUAGAUAUGUGGAGGAAUACCGAUGGCGAAGGCAGCCCCCUGGGAUAACACUGACGCCCAUGCACGAAAGCGUGGGGAGCAAACAGGAUUAGAUACCCCGGUAGUCCCUGUCUCUUAUCC
rnacentral:rRNA from 1 species